AAGAUGACACUCGUAGUUCUGUAAUUCCCGGAGAUCACCGACACGCUUGUCAUUGGCUUCCUAAACAAGUUGACGGCCUUAUGAUUCAAGGACGAUCAGAAGUGGAUUACAAAAGAGUGCUAGCCGCCUCUGGGGAUGCUAAUUAGCCUAAACUAACCGCUUCGGGGAAUUACCAAUACGUAGCAGGAAAGAGAGAAGAAUAAAAAAACAAAAAAGUAAACGAGAGAAAGAGAGAACGAUAUAAAGAAAUAAUAAUUUGAUAUGCCCAUCUAUUGUGGUGUGUCGAUAUUCAGCUACGGAUUUAUGUGAACGAUGAUUGAUAUGAUUAGAAGUUUGGGAUUUGACCGCAACAUAAUUUAAUGGCAUUUAAAUUUGCAUAAUUCAUUGACACGUACACUGAGAAAGAAUUCAUGAAUUUGAACGUGCUUGUACGCGCCGCGCAAAUCUCACAAGUGUAGAAUCAUCAAACAAUUAAAAAAUGUUUAAAGAAAAAUUGAAAGAAUUGACAGAAUUGUUCAAAGUCUUUAGCUUCAUUGGUUGAGUAACAAUUCCACACUCUUACAGUUUACUGCUUCGAAAUUAGUCUAUUUUUAUGAAUCAAUUGUCCUUGGACAAUUCGCCAAUGAUAUAUGAGGUUGAAAUUUACAACCUCACCACGGGAACGUCGCAUCAUUAUAAGAUAUGAUAAUAGCUGGAAACUCCGUGAAGAUGCGAAGUAAAUGAUACCCGAUGCAAAAACGAUUGUCGGUAAUUAUACGUAAAUUACAACAUUCGUAUUCAUGGAUAUCAAUAAGAGGAGGCAAGUACACCGACAUAUCCUGAUAUAUCUCAGUUUGUUGCUUCAGCGUUUUUGUACGUCUCUAUCCGUUCUUCUAACACUUCUUAAAUCGCUUAUGUAUAAUAAUUUAAAUAUAAAGUAUUUCGUAUCAUAAAAUUCUGAUAUUUAAGAUAAUAGAAGCUGUAUUCAAAUUCAGAUUUAACCCUUAACAUUCUGGCGAUAGUUGAAAAUGCUGCUUUAUACAUGUAAAUGUGACAAUACCUUGUGAUACUCAAAAAGACAUUUAAAAUGAACAUUAGUGAAAAGAAGAUGGUACGGGAUAGAAUGUUUAUAUUUUGUUGUUUUGCAUAGUACUAUAUUUUAGAUUUUCUCAGUUUAUCAUCUUAAACGUAAUACAGCC